GGUCAGGACGAACGCUGGCGGCGUGCUUAACACAUGCAAGUCGAACGAGGUUAUCAUCAGGAAGGCUUCGGCCGGAGAGAGGAUAACCGAGUGGCGGACGGGUGAGUAACGCGUGAGCAACCUGUCUUCUACAGGGGGAUAACGCCCCGAAAGGGGUGCUAAUACCGCAUAGGACCACAGUACCGCAUGGUACAGAGGUGAAAGGAGCAAUCCGGUAGAAGGUGGGCUCGCGUCCCAUUAGAUAGUUGGUGAGGUAACGGCUCACCAAGUCGACGAUGGGUAGCCGACCUGAGAGGGUGAUCGGCCACAUUGGAACUGAGAUACGGUCCAGACUCCUACGGGAGGCAGCAGUGGGGAAUAUUGGGCAAUGGGCGAAAGCCCUGACCCAGCAACGCCGCGUGAGGGAAGAAGGUCUUCGGGUUGUAAACCUCUGUCCUAAGUGAAAAGGAAGGAUGGUAGCUUAGGAGGAAGCCCCGGCUAACUACGUGCCAGCAGCAGC
rnacentral:rRNA from 1 species